UGCWUAAGAACAGCCCUUAGCCGUGGUAUAUUGGCCAUAUACCACACCCCCUCGGGCCUUAUUGCUUAAUUGUUGUCUCCUAGUUCCUCUUAGUCAGGUGGUAUCAGAUACUGUUGUCAGGUACAGUACAGGUGGUAUCAGAUACAGUACAGGUGGUAUCAGGUACAGUACAGGUGGUAUCAGGUACAGUACAGGUGGUAUCAGAUACUGUUGUCAGGUACAGUACAGGUGGUAUCAGAUACUGUUGUCAGGUACAGUACAGGUGGUAUCAGGUACUGGUGUCAGGUACAGUACAGGUGGUAUCAGGUACUGGUGUCAGGUACAGUACAGGUGGUAUCAGGUACUGUUGUCAGGUACAGUACAGGUGGUCUACUAGGUCGAGGUCAUUCCUUCGGAUAGACUGUCAUUCAAAGAUUUCUGGUUUCUUCUGUGUGCAUUAAUAUAAAUCUCUCUGUGURUGUGWGAGAGAGWGAAUUCAGGCAGGAUAAAGUGAAACAGUGCAGUAAAGGGAUUAAAGGUGUCCUGUAAGGAUGGAAGAACUGAGGACAAAGUCAGGACAUCUGACGUCACGUCCCAGCCUUACUACUGAUGACAUCACAAUGAGUAAGAAGAAUUCCCUUCAAAACUGGGCUGAACCACUGCAGCCACAGAGAGAGGGGUGUUCCACCAGCUCCACAGCUGUUCGGUAGAACCUGGACCGUGUUCAUUAAGGCACACCGUAGCAAAACGUUUCUUCAAUUUCAUACCUAAUGAACACAACCCUGGACUGUCUGU